rnacentral:rRNA from 1 species
GUCUUUGGCCAUGCCACCCUGAACAAGUCCGAUCCCGUCUGAUCUUGGAAGCUAAACAGGGUCGGGCCUGGUUAGUACUUGGAUAGGAGACCACCUAGGAAGACCAGUGCUGCAGGUG